rnacentral:rRNA from 1 species
UUGGCUUGACCCGAAGCCGGUGCGCUAACCUUCGGGAGGCAGCCGACCACGGUCAGGUCAGCAACUGGGGUGAAGUCGUAACAAGGUAGCCGUAGGUGAACCUGCAGAAGGAUCA